GGAUUACCGGCGCCUGGUCUUCACAACUAGUGAGGUGCCAUUGAGAUGCCUGGUGGGUUCGACUCCUACCUAUUCGGCCA
rnacentral:tRNA from 1 species